GUGCCAGCAGCCGCGGUAAUACGUAGGCAGCAAGCGUUGUUCGGAGUUACUGGGCGUAAAGGGUGUGUAGGCGGUUCCUUAAGUUUGCUGUGAAAUCUCCCGGCUUAACCGGGAGGGUGCGGUGAAUACUGAGGGACUAGAGUACGGGAGAGGAAAGUGGAAUUCCUGGUGUAGCGGUGAAAUGCGUAGAUAUCAGGAGGAACACCGGUGGUGUAGACGGCUUUCUGGACCGUAACUGACGCUGAGACACGAAAGCGUGGGUAGCAAACAGGAUUAGAAACCCCUGUAGUCC
rnacentral:rRNA from 1 species